rnacentral:rRNA from 1 species
UACGUAGGGGACCAGCGUUGUCCGGAUUUACUGGGCGUAAAGAGCGCGCAGGCGGUCGGUUAAGUCUAGUGUGAAAGCCCCCGGCUCAACUGGGGAGGGUCAUUCGAUACUGAUCGACUCGAAGGCAGGAGAGGGAAGCGGAAUUCCCGGUGUAGUGGUGAAAUGCGUAGAUAUCGGGAGGAACACCAGUGGCGAAGGCGGCUUCCUGGCCUGUUCUUGACGCUGAGGCGCGAAAGCUAGGGGAGCAAACGGG